rnacentral:misc_RNA from 1 species
GCUUUAGCUUUGCAUAUGAGAUUUUGUUGCAUUCACAUUUUUACAUCUGUGCUUUUGAGGUAGAUACAUUAUUUGCUUUGUGCACCUAAAAGUAACAUUAUAAUAAACUGCCAGCAUGAUGCUAGAUUAUAGUUUUUCCUUCCUUUUCAGGUGAAAAAGAUACUAGAAUUUCAGGAAAUGAAUAUACCUCAGAUGGUUGGGAUAAUUUUUCUGUCCUCUCUAGCACUUUGAAUUUUGUAAGAUAUCAUGCUAUGUUGUGUUGGAUAUUCAUCAGAGUGAUAUCUUGGAUAUUCUCUCUCAAAUAAAGAUAUACUCUUUAUUCUUGAUGUGCUUAUACGAUCAUAGAAAUGUGUUUUGGAUUAUGGAUGUUAUUUAUUUCGUCUUACACCUCUCAAUGCUAAUUUUUCCCAAGUAAAAAAUAAAGUGCAAUUAAUAAUAUCUUCAUAAUUGCUUAUACUCUGUGUGCCGAUUUUGAUUUUAAUGAUCCACCCUUGGUGUAUAACAUAUAAUAAAGUUUUUAGUUUUUUUUAUUCAGUUAAGCAUAUGAAUAUAUAGGGAAACUGAUUUACAGAAUAAGCCUUAGCAGGAUGUUAAUACUCUAUCUGUGUAGGUUUGAUGAGA